CUCCUCUCUCCCACGCCCGUCAGCGCGCGGCUUGUCCACGCUGGUUUCUUACCUUAAUCAAGGUCACGGACACAGACUGGGUUGCGUCCUGACUCUGCCCCCAUCCAGCCUGUGGCCAGGGUAAUGCAGAAAACCAUUGAAAUACUCUUAGGUGUUUUGGAAGCAUUACUUAAAACAAGGGAGAAUGGAUGUCUCUCCCAGGACAGUUUCCAGGAAGGCACAUCUACUCAAAUGUUGCUAGGCUGCCUGGAUUUAGUGCCACUCCAUUGCUUGCUUCAGAAGAAGUCCUGAACUUGGUUCCACUUACCCAGAACACACAGGCAAAGAGAAGUCUUCAGGGAUGAGCACCUCGUGCAGAGGACUGGGGAGACCGGGAAGCCAGCAUCCUCAGCACAGAAUGCCACAUGCGGAGGCUCCCUUGCCACAGGCUCACCCCCUGCGCGGGGCAGGACAUCACACGGCUGCAAGGAAGGUGUCUGCAGACUGGACAAGGCCGAAAUCCCAUCCAUCCUUAGGGCUUCGUGGCCUGCCCUCAACUGUCCCCCUCUCUCCUGGAAUUGCUGCUCUUGGCUCACCACCACCACCACCACAAAUCAUUACCAGCCUUGGCUGGAGUCUCCCUGUUCUGCGAGGGCAGGAGUACCUGCACUGAUUCUUAUCUGAAGUAAAGACCACUA